rnacentral:rRNA from 1 species
CGUACGGGUGAGUAACACGUGGAUCAUCUGCCCUGGAGUGGGGAAUAACGCUGGGAAACCGGCGCUAAUACCGCAUAUCCCCGAGAGGGGAAAGCAGCAAUGCGCUCGAGGAGGAGUCCGCGGCCGAUUAGCUAGUUGGCAGGGUAAAAGCCUACCAAGGCUGUGAUCGGUAGCCGGCCUGAGAGGGCACACGGCCACACUGGCACUGAAACACGGGCCAG